GCCCCGGGGGCGCGGCCGCCACGUGGGGAGUGGCGCGGGGGUGGCACUGGGACCGCACCCCCUCCGGUCCCGGCUGCGUGGGCCCCGCUCUCACCGCAGCGCGGGAGACUCGGAGCCCGGUCGGUCCCCACGUUCCACACAAGCUCAAUUUCCGCCCGCAUCCCACUGGGGCGGGCGGGGGAUUGCGGGCUCCGGGAGGCGCUCGGGCUCCGAGCAGAGACUCAGCCCCGCACUCCUUCCUGCGGUGCGCCGCUGCUUGCGGGCCAGGAUCCCGCGAUUCUAGGCUGCGGCGAGAGCGAGGCAGCGUGACUUCUCGGCUCGGUACCGCGCGGCUGCUCACCUCCGGGGCCUCGCCUCCUGCGGCUGCCAGGUCGCACCGGGCUCUCCCACGGUCUCGGUUUUCCUUCUUCUCCCUAUAGAUUCAGCGUCACAACUAGCUAGACCUAUGCGGUUCUGAAAGUGCAGCAGGCACGGACAGAGUCGGAUCGGCUUGGGCUUCACGCCUCUCGUCGGCUCACCUUCCUUUUCCUGGGCACCGAGGCCAGAUCCACCAUGCUGGUCCUCUCUACUGAUGGGCAUCAUUCUCCUCAAGCCCAGUGAACAGGAAGUGGGAAGUACUCGGAUGACCUCAUAGAAGAUAUGGAUGUCAAGACACAGGAAAUAAACCCAGUGAAGAGUCAGGAUCUGAUACACUGGUGACGUGCUUAAAGGUCUUGUCCACUGAGUUCCCAACCAUGGAGGAUGAGGCAUAGUGCUUGGUUCCCAGACCGUGGCACGGAACUAUCCACAUUGAUGGAUCUGACUCUGGCUGGUUGUCUGCUAAGGAGACCCUCAAUUCUGAAUGGCCCAUGGGGAUUUCUUCAGUUUGGCUGCUGACUACCUUAAGCAAAAGCCUGUACCUAAGACAGAGCUUAUACAAUGCAGAAUCAUGAAGCAUGGAGUGACACUGUCACCUUCCCCGGUUUAUUAGAAACAACUCAGGAAGAGCAGCAACUGCCAUCACUGUACCAAUGAAGGACUGUGGAGAUCAAGGAACCCUGAUCCCUACCAGGGGAAAGCAGGGCCACCGUGGAAUUGGUCAUAGACACUGUGUGAUCCAACACCCAUGAUUGUCAGUGAAGCCAAACCUCAGAAGACUCUCAGGGCAUGCCCUGGCCCAGCCUUCAUUCCCCGCGGACCAAGCGACGUAGCAGAUUCUCGGUGUCCAAGAUAAGGACUCUAGCAUCAUCUGCCUAGCGUCUUCUGUCGACGACCCGACUCGCCUCCCAGAAGUGUUCCUGGGUGAUCCCGUCUCACGCCGACUGCUCCAUGCCUUCCUGUCAUCGGCCAGUCCCACCAGCAGAGCCCUCACGUGUGCGAAGCUUUCAAGUCUAUAGGCGGGUUUCGCGUGCCGCGUCUUAACACUUGUCUCCCUGGAUUAAAUGAUUAAACGAGAUCAAACACUCAAGGCUCUAAACGACCGGUGUUACCUCUUGAGCUGAUAAAUAGAAUUAGGGCUCCCGUUUAUUGACCGAAUGCGAGAUGCCAGACCUCUGCUCCUCACUCCUCCUGCAUUAGUUCACAGACUCUUGGCUGCCGCUGUGGGAGACAGCUGUCAGUUGUACCUGGGUUUUGGGAAGUGUGAAGAACUUAAAGCCAAGGUCGUGAAGUCAACACUCAAGCACAUUAGCUAACUAUUGGCAAUGUCAUUAGGGCAAGCAUCUCACUUGUCUGUCUCCCGGGCUGGCACAGAGCAGACCCUGAGUGGAUCCUGUUGAGGGCGAGCCUGCAUGAACUGAGCUGUCCCAGUUGCUGUCUCUUAUCCCCGCCCCGCCUCCCCUUCUCCUUACAGGCAUCAGACCCUGGAUCAUCAGAAGUCUAACUUAGCGCUCAGUCUGGUGUCUGACGUAUUAUAGUUCUUGAUUCGCUGGAAAGAGGACUGAAUACAGUCAAUCCCAACAGUCCUCUGAGGACGGUUUUAGGAACUCCAUCGUGCGGGAGGGAGGGGCCUGAGGGUGUGUGACACCUGUUCAAAUACAGCGUCAGAGCCAGGAUUUGGAUUCGUUUUUUGUUUCUUUGUUUUGUUUUCUCACCAGCGCCCGCCCACCUAACCACCUGGCAGACGUUUGGGGGGCUGGGGGAGAUUCGGAAGUGUUUCUUCUUCACCACCAUCCUGUCUAGUAUCUAUUAAAUACCCAUCACUCACCAGCUGCAGACAUUCUCCAGAAAGCCCCAGAACACCUUCCCAGAGGUGUCUGUUAUUCUUCCCAUUUUACAGAUGUGGAAGCAGGUUGAAGGAGGCUGCCUAGUAACUGACUGAUCUGAUUCCUGAGCCUCCUGCCAGCGCCAUGGAGUGAAGAGAAGUUUGGCCCUGGGAUGAUGAGAUGGAUCCACUUGGAUGUUCUCCGGCCCCACCCCCACCCCGCAUCCUUGUCCCUCCAUCCUUGCUGUACAAGUGGUCUGCCUUCGUGCUCACAGCCAGGCUCAGCAGGGAGAGUAGCCUCGUCCUUGGAUUUCCCUGCUUCCCAGACACUGCAGACAACUAAAGCCUGGUCUAGGCUCGUCCCCCCCACUCCCGGGUGGGCGCAUUUAUUCUUUCUCUCAUUCAUUUGUUGAUUCAUUCAACCAGUAGUUUCUGAGCUCUUAGGGUCUGCUAGACUGGGAACACAGCAGCGACCCCAGCUGACCAGUCUGUUGUCUUCACAGAGGUUACCCCACUGACUGGAUAGACACGUCGGUUUUUAGUGAGCAACCCAGGCCUUGAUGUGAGUAAUACCUGAGGCACGGUGGGAAGUGCCUGGCUAUUGCUUUGGUUCGCAGACAGAGAUCUCAUCUCCACCACAAGAGGGGACGUCUGCAGGGGGAUCUGAGUAUGAUGAAGCUAUUCAAAGGAAGAUCCAGAUACAGAACAUCCCAUACUCGGUCAGGAGUCAUUCCAGCACCAACAUCUGACUCCGAUGCUCUCGUAGACCACAGGCCUUUUCUAGCCAGCUCUGGGAGUGGUGUCUGACAAAUGCUUUCUGGGCUGACGUGAGUUUUUUGCGUACUCUAGCAGAAGCACUGAGUUAGCAAGUCCCCUUUGUUUGAACAAACAAGAUUAGAAGCCUCCUGGUAAGGCUCAAGCCAAUCUACACUUUCUGGGACUUCUGGCCUCUGGAGGGCUCCUCGGUGUUUUCUAAAAGCCAGUGAGAGUAAAAAUUUGAAUAGAUAUCUCUCAAAAGCUGGUCCUGUAUUACCUUGAGACAAGUGUUUGUUAAAAAAAAAAAGAUUCUAGUUGCUAGAACACAUCUUGUAAAUACUUGUGUUUGAAAAUGUACACUUCCGGGAUGCUUUGCGGGUUCCUGUGCAUGUUCACGUACGACUGGAAAUCUGUUUGUCACAGAUGCUUCCCGGGCCUGGUGGUUGUUUUCUCUUUGCUAAUUAAUCUACUGAUGUGGAAUUAUGCAUCUUUCUCCAUAAGCUAGGAGUGUAUUUAAAAGCUCAUUUCCUUGCCUGAGAUUCAUGCAAAUAAAAGUCAAAGAUGAUUGAAA